AUUACGGUUUGUUUUCCUUGUUCUGACUGCGGCAAAUUCAUUUAAAGUCACUGUGUCCUUUUCUAAUGGUUUGGUUACAAUGGCCUGUGAUUCCAUGAAGCCCGAUCAUUUUGGCUUCUCACCUCAAACUGGUCAGCCACCAUAUGUAAUCGAUCCUAAAAGAUAUGAUGUCUCCGGCUCCAACAGGGCAGAAAUCACAGUGACACUUAGGGGCAAUCCUGAUGAAUUCAGAGGUUUUCUGUUGAAGGCCUCAGACCAAAAUGGAAAUGACGCCGGCACUUUCACUUUAAUAGAUACUUCUGAGACUCGGCUCCUAGAUUGCAACGGAGUGUCAGGUUCAGCUGUUAGCCAAACACGCAACAUUAACAAGAAAGAAAUCAGUGUCAAAUGGAAACCCUCAAUGGAUGGACAUUACACAUUCAGAGCCACAUUUAUUCAGAAACUAGAAGUAUUCUGGGUUGCAGAGCCCGUUACUCCUCUACCCACCACCUCUGCCCCUGCUAGCACUUCAACAACAUCAGCAUCAACAUCUACCGGGUC